rnacentral:rRNA from 1 species
UACGACUACAUAUCAGGCAUAUCAAUAAGCGGAGGAAAAGAAACUAACUAGGAUUCCCUCAGUAACGGCGAGUGAAGCGGGAAGAGCUCAAAUUUGAAAUCUUAAAGGGUUUCCCUUUACGAAUUGUAGUUUAAAGAAGUGUUUUCUGUUGGAGUUUCGGUAAAAGUUCUUUGGAAUAGGACAUCAUAGAGGGUGAGAAUCCCGUAUUUGACCGUUACUUUCCAGCUGUGUGAUACACUUUCAAAGAGUCGGAUUGUUUGGGAAUGCAGUCCAAAAUGGGUGGUAAAUUUCAUCUAAAGCUAAAUAUUGGCGAGAGACCGAUAGCGAACAAGUACCGUGAGGGAAAGAUGAAAAGAACUUUGAAAAGAGAGUUAAACAGUACGUGAAAUUGUCAAAAGGGAAGCGUUUGACACCAGUGUUGUUUAGUUGAAAAUCAAUUAAAAUAAUUUUGAUUUUAAGUUAGUAUUGACCUUAUAAGCUUGCUUCACUUUUUUCAGGAAUUAUUUUAAUGCACUUUUCAGUUAACAAGUCAACAUCAAUUUCUUUUGUUGUAAAAAGGUCAUUAGGAAGGUGGCUUGCGCUUUCGGAUAAAGUGUUUAUAGCCUUUUACUCCUGCAAUCGGAGAGACUGAGGUCUGCAGCGUAGAUCCUUCGGGAUUAGAUUACAUUUGUGCUAAGUUAUAGCUUUUCAUAGACAACUUGUUGACUAUGUUUAGUCAUGUAGCUUACUCGCUUAUGUAUUUUACCUACGCUUAGGAUGUUGAACGCGCACAGAGUCUC